GUGUUACCAUGAGUUCCCUUCAAGCACUUCACAUGAGGCACCAUUCAAAUGACAACUCCAUUUAAGAUUAUGUGUAAUGUGAAGUGUUUGGGGGAACUCUUGGUGGUAC
rfam:Zea mays cultivar B73 chromosome 10, whole genome shotgun sequence.